rnacentral:misc_RNA from 1 species
UGGCAGCGACUGCGUCCCGAGCAAGCCUCUUCAGUUGUUGGCUCAAGAGCGGAUUCGCCUUGGCCGAURUCGGUUUCCUGUGCUGAAUUCCUACCGAAAGGCAGUGCUUCGGCAACAAUCGUCCCSUACUCCUCCUCUCGUUGCUGCCCSCACGGAGACGCAGCGCGGGGAGGACAUCAAAGCGCCCGUCGUGUUUCGYGAUCCGCGCAGCCCUCGCACGGGUUGCGCCGGGUCGUCGACCCACGAUGUUGCGCUCGUUAUCUCGGAUGCGGAAAACUAAGCGGCCAAGAGGCCACGGCCUCCACCGUCCCUAACAAGAGCGCUCGACGCUCUCCACGGACGACUGCCGGUCGGGUCUUGUUUCGAGCCCCCGCGGCCCGGACCAUGCCCGCUCGGCGUCGACGAGGAAUGCUACCUGGUUGAUCCUGCCAGUAGU